CUGUGAUGUCAUAUACAAGGCACAUGUUGACAAUAUACUGGCACUCCACGAGAAAAUUGGAAACAGCCAACUUUGUGUUUUAGUGUGUAAAGAAUGG